rnacentral:rRNA from 1 species
AUGCAGGCGAAUCUAACAACUCUGUUGCGUCCAUAUACAGCUUCACAACAAAAAUCUAGGCAGCUGCUAGGUAGGUUUCUCGGCUUCUUCGGCAGGUGGCGACUGAUAGAUCUUGGCAAUGGUCGGUCAUUGCGCCCCGGCGUGCCACUGCCCCUCGCCUGCAGCGGCAUUCAUGCCGCCGGUAGCCGUCAACCAUUCGCGCUCGACAAGCAACAAAGCCAGAUCUUCAACGGCGCCGCUCCUCGAACCCAGGCCCAGACCUGCCGUCGUCGACGACGAAUCUCAUCGAAAGUUCCGGUAGCAGUACUCUACAUCUACAUGUUAAUUUGUGGAAGUCCGUGUGAUGCAUGCAUUGUGCAGUACUUCGGCGUCUCCGGGUACAUGUUCAUGGCCGCCGUCAUAGUGGCCUCAAUAUUUUGGCCCGAUUGGCAAGACUCACUCACCACCGCCAUCGUGUUCUCCUACUCGACGGCGAUGAUCCUCCUGCUUCUCAAACAUUGGGACAGCAAGGAAGACCAACCAGCAAGGCGAUGCCAUGAAAGCACAUGGGUGCAGAUGUUGGUGGUCACCGGGAUCAUGUUGAUCUCCUUGGUGUUGAUGGUCUCCAUUUUCCCUAAUAAGUGGGAUCACGUGGCCAUGAUUGUGUUCGUCUCCCUGGUGGCCGCCGCGUUUAGUUUCUUGCUUCUCAAUGUCUGGGAUGCGCAACAUGAAUGGGAACGGGCACAGGCUGCAUCGGCAGGAUUUGACGAAACGUCCACGGAUCUCGCAUAG